UCACUUUUGUUAAACCAUCUGUUUGUCAGUUUUUAUAAAUAUGAUGGAAAACAGUGAUCAAAAUCUUGCUAUGGUCACCUGCACGGCACCAGUGAACAUUGCGGUCGUCAAAUACUGGGGGAAACGCAAUGAAGAUCUCAUUCUGCCAAUCAAUUCAUCCCUCAGCGUGACACUGCAUCAGGAACAGCUCAAAACUACUACAACAAUUGCAUGCAGCAGAAGUUUCCAGCAAGACCGCAUCUGGCUGAAUGGCAAGGAGGAGGAUAUCAGCUGCCCCAGGUUGCAGUCAUGUCUGCAGGAAAUUCGAAGGUUAGCUCGCAAGAGACGGAAUACUGGUGAUCCAACUUCUGAUAUCAGCGUAGUGUCCCGUAAGGUCCAUAUCUGCUCUGUGAAUAAUUUCCCCACUGCUGCUGGCUUGGCAUCCUCUGCAGCAGGCUAUGCCUGUUUGGUGUACACACUGUCACAGUUGUUCAAUGUGGAGGGUGAGCUGUCUACAGUGGCACGACAGGGCUCUGGCAGUGCAUGCAGGAGUUUGUACGGUGGCUUUGUCCAGUGGAAGAUGGGGGAACGGUCAGAUGGGGAAGACAGUAUCGCUGAACAAGUGGAAUCUGAGUCGUACUGGCCGGAGCUCAGAGUAUUGAUCCUAGUGGUGAGUGCUGAGCAGAAGUCUGUUGGGAGCACGUCUGGAAUGCACACUAGUGUGGAAACAAGUCAACUUCUGAAGUACCGAGCAGAUGUUGUGGUCCCCUGUCGUAUGGUGGAGAUGAUCAGGGUUAUUCGCCAACGAGACUUCCCAGCAUUUGGUGAGCUGACCAUGAAAGACAGUAAUCAGUUUCAUGCCACCUGCCUGGAUAGCUACCCACCAAUAUUCUACCUGAACAACGUAUCCCACCGAAUCAUCAGCCUUGUGCACCGCUACAACCAGUUCUAUGGAGAGACCAGGGUGGCAUAUACCUUUGAUGCUGGUCCUAAUGCUGUUAUUUACACCUUGCAAGAGCACGUACCAGAGUUUGUACAGGUGGUUCGUCAUUUCUUCCCCUCAGAAGCCAAUGGUAACUUUAAUUUGCAGCUUUGUCAGAGGUCUUUCUGUAUGUUCAGCUGACCUCUCUGAGGAGCUGAAGAAAGACCUUAAUAUGGAGCCAACUCCAAAGGGCAUACACUACAUAAUCAGCACUAAGGCUGGUCCUGGACCAUGUGUGGUGGAGGAUGAUCCAAACCAUCAUUUGUUGGGUGUUGACGGGCUCCCCAAGAAGAGUGCAGUUUCAGAUUAACCUUAAAGAUCCUUUUAGAUCUAAAAAAAAAAAAGAUUUUGCAUAAAUAUAUACUUUACUUUGUAAAUAUGUUUUAAUAUUAAUUGUUGUCU